rnacentral:sRNA from 1 species
AAAACAGAGAAUAAAC